AACGAACGCUGGCGGCAUGCCUAACACAUGCAAGUCGAGCGAACCCUUCGGGGUUAGUGGCGGACGGGUGCGUAACGCGUGGGAACGUGCCCUUAGCUUCGGAAUAACUCAGGGAAAUUUGGACUAAUACCGGAUGAGGUCUUCUGGCCAAAGAUUUAUCGGCUUUGGAUGGGCCCGCGUUGGAUUAGCUAGUUGGUGGGGUAAAGGCCUACCAAGGCGACGAUCCAUAGCUGGUCUGAGAGGAUGAUCAGCCACACUGGGACUGAGACACGGCCCAGACUCCUACGGGAGGCAGCAGUGGGGAAUAUUAGACAAUGGGGGAAACCCUGAUCCAGCCAUGCCGCGUGAGCGAUGAAGGCCUUAGGGUUGUAAAGCUCUUUUACCCGAGAAGAUAAUGACGGUACCGGGAGAAUAAGCCCCGGCUAACUCCGUG
rnacentral:rRNA from 1 species